CGGCGGACGGGUGAGUAACACGUGGAUAACCUACCUAUAAGACUGGGAUAACUUCGGGAAACCGGAGCUAAUACCGGAUAAUAUAUUGAACCGCAUGGUUCAAUAGUGAAAGACGGUUUUGCUGUCACUUAUAGAUGGAUCCGCGCCGCAUUAGCUAGUUGGUAAGGUAACGGCUUACCAAGGCAACGAUGCGUAGCCGACCUGAGGAGGGUGAUCGGCCACACUGGAACUUAGACACGGUCCAGACUCCUACGGGAGGCAGCAGGC
rnacentral:rRNA from 1 species